CCUCAAGUGUGUCCUAUCAGGUGUUGGGGCACCACAAGCUUCCUAACUAAUGUUUUGGUCACCUCAAAUGCCCUUUUAACUGUUGGGGCACCUCAAGUGUCCUAUCAACAGUUUAGUUGUCUACCAGCAGUUUGCUGCUACAAGUCAAUGACCGUCAACACUCAAGACGACCACAUUAAAUAAAGCCAUGUCUAUUUCUACAUAAUUUUGUUAAUACUACUAACCUGGUGUUAAUAACAACUAACUUGAAACAGGAGAGGAGAAUUAUUAUCUAAUUCAUUCUCAACUCCUCAAAUUCCAUAUAAUUGUAGAGAACUGACAUUUAAAUAAAACAUUAACAAAAUGUGUAUUAUAUUUGUAGCUUUUCCUCCACUUUGCAUUAUUGUUUUCAUCCUAGAUUUUCAUUUUUUCCUGAAGUCAUUUCAGUUUUAAAUUAUUUUGUGAAACAAGUGACCAGAACAAAGUUGAAGCAUGAGAGGUCACUUCGCUAAGACUUUGUCUUCUCAUAAGAAUGGAUGGCUGCCUGGUGAUGCAGGCUGGACUGUUGUGUGCUCAUAUCUUGCCUGAUGACAUUCAUACUACUAAACGUUUGGUCAAGGAAGUAGAUUCUCAACUCUCAAGGAACAUUCAAAACAUGUCAAACAUUUGAUAAGAAUAUCAAGUGCAGUGUACAUACCAACAUGAUGAAAAGGUAGACCAACAUGAAGAUGUAGACCAGCAUGAUGAAGAUGUAGACCAGCAUGAUGAAGAUGUAGACCAACAUGAUGAAGAUGUAGACCAGCAUGAUGAUGUAGACGUAGACCAGCAUGAUGAAGAUGUAGACCAACAUGAUGAAGAUGUAGACCAGCAUGAUGAUGUAGACGUAGACCAGCAUGAUGAAGAUGUAGACCAACAUGAUGAAGAUGUAGACCAGCAUGAAGAUGAAAUGUAAACCAAAAUAUUGAUCAAGAGAUGAAGGGAAUAAAAUGUGAACGUCUUGAGAAGUAAAGCAAUUCCUAGAGGUGAAGACACAGACACAGCUGAUACAUUAGAAAUUGUUUUCCUUUCUACCAUCAUUUAGAGACUUCCUUAUGCUCUAAGGGAACCUGCCAUUAUCUUUUGAUUGCUAAUUGUCAGUGAAGAUGUUUAUACAUUCCUACUGUGUCUGAAAGAAAUAAACAUUUCCCAAAUGCUACUUCAAAUCCAGACCUUCUCAAGAUCUUAGUGACCUAGUUGCAAUACAGGACCCAGUAGGAAACAAUGAAGAAUCCUCCCAACCUCAGGUUGAGUACACAUACUCACCUUCUAGAGUGGCGACGAAUACUUCUCCUACAUCCACUGUUAUACACCCUGAACCCAACCUCACAACAUGGUUACAUUACCGGAAGUGGCUGUGAAGUCAGAAAACCUAACAAAUACAAUGAAUAGAACAAUCAUUUCUAAUACAGGUACAAGGACUCAAGUGAUGUACCUUGUAAGGACUAAUUAGGUGGAAUCACCAUAAUUGACUUGUAUCUAGUUCUAUAUUAAGGUAUAUCUUUUGAUAAUCAGUCCAGUCAUUUGUUCAUUUUUUUUUUAAUAUUUCUUUUUUCCCCUCAAUCUUCUUGUUGUUUCAGUUCAAUGUUUUUAUCUUUUUUGUUUUUGGAGGAGGGAGGGGCUGUGGUAUAUUAUCAUUAUUAUUAUUGUAUUAAGCAAACUUGUAUAUGUAUAUUUAUUCAUGAAUACUAAUGAAGAACAUGACAUCCACUGGAAAAUGUAAACACUAUACGUCUUCACUUUAAUUUUCUCUAAGAGUCACAACACCAAAGCCUUGCUACGUUAUGCUUUUUAUAUCAAUUCAUUAUCUCCCCUGCUUUUGUGUGCUAUCAUAGUAAUGUUCAUUAGUGUCACAUCCCUGCACAAUUUGUUCUAUGCUCUUUAUAGUGUAAAUAGUGACUUGACAUUAUUUAGAUCAAUUAUAUGCAUAUAAUAUUAUUAUAUUUAACAUAAAACUGUUAACAUUUUCUAUGCUGUUAUUGAUAUGAAUGUUUUGCUGUGUUGCUAUGAAUGCAGUUUUGAGUUUUAGUCCAAAAUCAUAGAUGAGAAAUUGUUCCAUAAAUGAGUCUAUUAAUAUGUACUGUUUGGUAUUGUCAGACUUCACUAAAGCAUUGAGUUCAUCCCCUUAGUCUAUUUAAAACUUUCAAAUACUAAUUCCCUUUGUCUUAUCUAAUGGUGAUGUGAUCAUGGGGUAUCCACUUUGUCAUCUCCAAAGUCUCUGGUAUGAACACUCACUGUCCUGUUGGAGGUUAGGGCUAGGAUGUAAUCUCUAUUUCUGAUGGAACAUAUGUAAAACCAAGAAAACAAACAGUAGACCUAGACUUUAUUAACAGGGCAUGCAAACAUUUGUUAUAAUUGUCAACCGGUGCUCCCAGAGCUAUUUUUAUGUAUUUUUAUUUUUACUACUUUGUGUAGGCUAGUGCUAAGCUGUAUACUUAUAUUUCCGCCUAUUAUUAUAUGGGUUAGGGCGAUGCUGUUUCCUGUACUGUUGACCAGAGUGUGUCAGUUUUAAUUAUUCUGUACUUGGGACUGCCUGUAAAUUUCAGAAUUUUUUUAUUUUUUUUUUACUACAUGUAAAUCUACUUUAUAUUUUAGUUAUACAUGGUACAUUAUUUUACUAAUUGGAACAACUGUCAAAAUAAUAUGGCAGUUUGUUUUUUAAAGUUUGUUUUAAAAUGAUGACCACUUCUAAUGUUUAUGUACAAGAUCUUGUCUUUAUGUUUUUGUAUUUCUAGCUGCAGUGUUUUGUAACUGCUGCUUUAGUCAUUGAAAUUAAAGUGUCAUUUUUUUUUAAA